UACAGAGGGUGCGAGCGUUAAUCGGAAUUACUGGGCGUAAAGCGUGCGCAGGCGGUUAUGCAAGACAGGUGUGAAAUCCCCGAGCUCAACUUGGGAACUGCACUUGUGACUGCAUAGCUAGAGUACGGUAGAGGGGAGUGGAAUUCCGCGUGUAGCAGUGAAAUGCGUAGAUAUGCGGAGGAACACCGAUGGCGAAGGCAGCUCCCUGGACCUGUACUGACGCUCAUGCACGAAAGCGUGGGGAGCAAACAGG
rnacentral:rRNA from 1 species